GAAUCCUGGUCAGGAUGAACGCUAGCUACAGGCUUAACACAUGCAAGUCGAGGGGAAACGAUAUUGGAAGCUUGCUUCCGAUAGGCGUCGACCGGCGCACGGGUGAGUAACGCGUAUCCAACCUGCCCAUCACUUGGGAAUAACCUUGCGAAAGUAAGACUAAUGCCCAAUGACAUUUAUAGAAGGCAUCUGAAAUGAAUUAAAGAUUUAUCGGUGAUGGAUGGGGAUGCGUCCGAUUAG
rnacentral:rRNA from 1 species